rnacentral:rRNA from 1 species
GACGAACGCUGGCGGCGUGCCUAAUACAUGCAAGUAGAACGCACAGUUUAUACCGUAGCUUGCUACACCAUAGACUGUGAGUUGCGAACGGGUGAGUAACGCGUAGGUAACCUGCCUGGUAGCGGGGGAUAACUAUUGGAAACGAUAGCUAAUACCGCAUAAUAUUAAUUAUUGCAUGAUAAUUAAUUGAAAGGUGCAAUUGCACCACUACCAGAUGGACCUGCGUUGUAUUAGCUAGUAGGUGAGGUAACGGCUCACCUAGGCGACGAUACAUAGCCGACCUGAGAGGGUGAUCGGCCACACUGGGACUGAGACACGGCCCAGACUCCUACGGGAGGCAGCAGUAGGGAAUCUUCGGCAAUGGACGAAAGUCUGAACGAGCAACGCCGCGUGAGUGAAGAAGGGUUUCGGAUCGUAAAGCUCUGUUGUAAGAGAAGAACGGGUGUGAGAGUGGAAAGUUCACAAUGUGACGGUAUCUUACCAGAAAGGGACGGCUAACUACGUG